UUAUGUUCGACAUCUUCAGCACCCCCGCAGAGUUCACACCUCGCGGAAGAACUCUUGAAACAUUUCUCGAAUGAAACAUUUCACAAUCGAAGAAGGACAUGAGACGACAACUCAUCACCUUCCUCCCCACUAUUCACAAACUCAUAAAAAGCGCUAUCCGAUUAUCAUACCAUAAAAAGAAAGCCGCGGAGCGGCAGGGAUUCAAAGCCACACACGGCCAGUCCCGAAAUACAAACAAGGCCAUUCAAGGCCGAAACAUAAAAACAUAAAAAAAAUCUCUCGCAAGAGAUCUAACCCAAGUCACCCUCAGAACUU
rnacentral:lncRNA from 1 species